GACCGUUUGGCCUAGUCGUUAGGGCGUCUCCUUUACAGAUCAAGAAAACGGAGAAGGUCGUGGGUUCAAUCCCCACAAUGGUCA
rfam:Saitoella complicata NRRL Y-17804 DNA, contig: contig006, whole genome shotgun sequence.